rnacentral:rRNA from 1 species
CAGCCGCCGCGGUAAUACGUAGGUGGCGAGCGUUGUCCGGAAUCAUUGGGCGUAAAGGGAGCGCAGGCGGGCAUGUAAGUCUUUCUUAAAAGUUCGGGGCUCAACCCCGUGAUGGGAAAGAAACUACAAGUCUUGAGUACAGGAGAGGAACGCGGAAUUCCCAGUGUAGCGGUGAAACGCGUAGAUAUUGGGAGGAACACCAGUGGCGAAGGCGGCUUUCUGGACUGCAACUGACGCUGAGGCUCGAAAGCCAGGGGAGCGAACGGGAUUAGAUACCCCAGUAGUCCCUGUCUCUUAUACC